rnacentral:rRNA from 1 species
ACUCAAAUGAAUUGACGGGGACCCGCACAAGCGGUGGAUGAUGUGGUUUAAUUCGAUGCAACGCGAAAAACCUUACCUACCCUUGACAUGUCUGGGACCCUGCAGAGAUGCGGGGGUGCUCGAAAGAGAACCAGAACACAGGUGCUGCAUGGCCGUCGUCAGCUCGUGUCGUGAGAUGUUGGGUUAAGUCCCGCAACGAGCGCAACCCUUGUCAUUAGUUGCUACGAAAGGGCACUCUAAUGAGACUGCCGGUGACAAACCGGAGGAAGGUGGGGAUGACGUCAGGUCCUCAUGGCCCUUAUGGGUAGGGCUACACACGUCAUACAAUGGCCGGUACAGAGGGCUGCCAACCCGCGAGGGGGAGCUAAUCCCAGAAAACCGGUCGUAGUCCGGAUCGCAGUCUGCAACUCGACUGCGUGAAGUCGGAAUCGCUAGUAAUCGCGGAUCAGAAUGUCGCGGUGAAUACGUUCCCGGGUCUUGCACACACCGCCCGU